CCUACGGGAGGCAGCAGUGAGGAAUGUUGGUCAAUGGCCGGAAGGCUGAACCAGCCAAGCCGCGUGAAGGACGAAGGUGCCAAGCAUUGUAAACUUCUUUUGUCAAGGGACAAAAUCAGGCUCGAGAGCCUGACCGAGGGUACUUGAAGAAAAAGCAUCGGCGAACCCCGUGCCAGCAGCCGCGGUAAUACGGAGGAUUCGAGCGUUAUCCGGAUUUAUUGGGUUUAAAGGGUGCGUAGGGGGACUGUUAAGUCAGCGGUAAAAGCCCGGGGCUCAACCCCGGCGAGCCGUUGAAACUGGCGGUCUUGAGAUGUCGAGAGGUAUGCGGAAUGCGUAGUGUAGCGGUGAAAUGCUUAGAUAUUGCGCAGAACUCCGAUUGCGAAGGCAGCAUACCGGCGGCGAUCUGACGCUGAGGCACGAAAGCGUGGGUAUCGAACAGGAUUAGAUACCCGAGUAGUC
rnacentral:rRNA from 1 species